CUUAAUAUGAUGCUAAAUUGUCACUGACUUUGGUUAGAUUCAAGCUAUUUUUGUGAGAAUCUUGAUGUGCCAAAACUAAAAACAGGAUGUUCGCUUUUGCGAGGCAUUUGUCUGAUUGAGUU
rnacentral:snoRNA from 1 species